AGUUGAAUAACGUGAAAACAAACCAUACUCAGACCUGAAAGAGGAUUCUCUGAUAAUGGGGGAAAAAGGAGUAAUCGAGGUCCGGCUGGCUGUGGUGGAUGAAUUGACAACACGAUAAGCGCUGAUAAGAGCUCUUCUCAAGUUCGUCAUUUUUCUUGAUCCGAGCUUUGGUUUCGAUGGGAGAGGAAACCUUAAUAGGCUGGAGAAGAAACGGGUGCCGUGGGCUUCAAUGGAAUUAAAAAGGCAGCAGCAGCAGUGCCUCGCUUGGGUCAUAACAUCGUGGCCCUAUUUGAUCCCCUAAGAAAU
rnacentral:misc_RNA from 1 species